rnacentral:rRNA from 1 species
UACGGGGGGGGCAAGCAUUGUUCGGAAUUACUGGGCGUAAAGGGCUCGUAGGCGGCCAACUAAGUCAGACGUGAAAUCCCUCGGCUUAACCGGGGAACUGCGUCUGAUACUGGAUGGCUUGAAUCCGGGAGAGGGAUGCGGAAUUCCAGGUGUAGCGGUGAAAUGCGUAGAUAUCUGGAGGAACACCGGUGGCGAAGGCGGCACCCUGGACCGGCAUUGACGCUGAGGAGCGAAAGCCUGGGGAGCAAACGGG